rnacentral:rRNA from 1 species
AUUGAACGCUGGCGGCAUGCUUUACACAUGCAAGUCGAACGGUAACAGGCCGCAAGGUGCUGACGAGUGGCGAACGGGUGAGUAAUGCAUCGGAACGUGCCCGGUCGUGGGGGAUAACGCAGCGAAAGCUGCGCUAAUACCGCAUACGAUCUAAGGAUGAAAGCGGGGGACCGUAAGGCCUCGCGCGAUCGGAGCGGCCGAUGUCAGAUUAGGUAGUUGGUGGGGUAAAGGCUCACCAAGCCGACGAUCUGUAGCUGGUCUGAGAGGACGACCAGCCACACUGGGACUGAGACACGGCCCAGACUCCUACGGGAGGCAGCGGUGGGGAAUUUUGGACAAUGGGCGCAAGCCUGAUUCAGCAAUGCCGCGUGCAGGAAGAAGGCCUUCGGGUUGUAAACUGCUUUUGUACGGAACGAAACGGCUCUGGUUAAUACCUGGGGCUAAUGACGGUACCGUAAGAAUAAGCACCGGCUAACUACGUGCCAGCCGCCGCCGUAAAAC